rnacentral:lncRNA from 1 species
ACACACACACACUGGACACACACAACCACACACACACACACGCACACACACACACACACAUUGCACACAUAUACACGAACACACACACACAUUGGGCACACACAUACACACUGGGCACACACGCACACAAACUGGAACACACACAAAUACACACACAAACUGGACACACACACACAAACACUGGACACACACACACUGGACACACACAUUGGACACACACACACACACACACACACACACACACACUGGACACACACAUUGGACACACACACACACACACACUCUGAAAACACACACACAACCACACACACACAUUGGACAAACACACAAAUACACACACAAACUGGACACACAUACACACACACACACUGGACACACACACACACACACACACACACACACACAACCACACACACACAUUGGACACACACACAAAUACAUACACAAACUGGACACACACACACACACACACACACACUGGACACACACACACACACACACACACACACACACACACACACACACACAACCAUUGGACACACACACACACACACACAACCAUUGGACACACACACACACAAUGAACACACACACACUGGACACACACAACCACACACACACACACACAUUGCACACAUAUACACGAACACACACACACACAUUGGGCACACACACACACAAACUGGAUACACACACAAAUACACACACAAACUGGACACACACACACAAACACUGGACACACACACUGGACACACACAUUGGACACACACACACACACACACAACCACACACACACAUUGGACACACACACGAAUACACACACAAACUGGACACACAUACACACACACACACACACACUGGACACACACACACACACACACACACACAUACACACAAGACACACACACACAACCACACACACACACAUUGGACACACACAAAUACAUACACAAACUGGACACACACACACACACACACACACACUGGACACACACACACACCCAUUGGACACCCACACCCACACUGGACACACUGAAAACACAUAUACACAAACACUGGACACACAGACACACACACACUGGACACACACACACAUGCACACACAAGCACACAUACACUGGGCACACACACACACAAACACUGGACACACACACACAGGACACACACACACACACACAACCACACACACACAUUGGACACACACACAAAUACACACACAAAUUGGACACCCCCCCCCCCCCCACACACACACACACACACACUGGACACACACACACACACACAUUGGACACACACACACACUGGACACACAAACACUGGACACACGCACACACACUGAAAACACACACACAAACACUAGACACACAGACACACACACACUGGACACACACAAACAUUGGACACACACACACAGGACACACACACACACACACAACCACACACACACAUUGGACAUUGUUAUAG